CCCUGCUGCUGAUCUACCGACGCCCGAACGACGCCCCCCCUGCUCUGCUCGCUGACACCAGCUGAAGCUGCGUCCCACCGAGCCCCUUGCUGCAAUUUGGGAGUGCUUCUGUUCUGUUUUCUGGGAUCCAAGCCAUUCUGAAUCUCUGAUUGUGCUGUCCAUCAGAGGCCAAAAUGCAGAUUUCUAAUCGAUGGGUGACAACUAGGCCCAAGGUCCCCUGCGAUUUGUGAACUCCGCCGUGCUAUUUACGUCCUGGGAGUACCGAUAGUUGCAGGCACGAGGGCCUGGUUAGGUCUUGGGUACGAUCCUUCUGAGGUACAUUGUGAAACCCUCGACGUAGAUAAUUUAUGUUUGGUGUGCAGAUUGUAACAGUUCGAGUCCUCGAAGCGAGUUGCAGUUUUUCUAGUUGAAUGAUGAAAGAUUGAGAAAGAAAUGAAGAGAGAGGGAGGUCGCACGAAUUUAAAUGUAGAUUAAUGCUCUGCCUGUAAUUGAUACUUCUAUCUACUUUUUAUUUUUCUAUGCUAAUACCGGUAUAAUCUUCUUGCUUAGUGCUUACAUGUAUCUUUUGAUUCAUAUUAAUGGAUUGAUGUUGCAAUUUCAUGAUCGGGGCAAAUCAUUUUUGUCAAGUAAAGGCAUUUAAAUACUUUUUGACUGAUUUCAGGAUGCAAAUUCAGAAACUUCUUAUUCAUUUUAAACUGCUUAAGAAGAAAAUAAAUUCUUAAGCGUUUUUUUUCUGUUUCUUCAAAACCUCCUAACUGCUAAACCAAAGUUGCAGCGAUUGCUUGAUUCCUUAGCAUUUGCUUGAUGAUUCAAUUCCUUGUCAAGUGAAGUUAGUGGUCUAUGUAACUUUCUGUAGUUGGUCUAGGUAACUUUUGGUACCUUUAAAGAUUGCAUCCAAUUUCACUUGCCCAAAAAAGCAAAGAAAAAGAUUGAAUCCUGUUACACUGUGUUACCUGAUUGGUUUGGGGAGUCUGAAACUUGAACACACUGUUGUUGACAUUGAUCUCCUAAAAAAGAUGGGGUUGUAUUGUCUUUUGCCUCUAGUUGUGGAGUUUUUUUUUAAUGUGUACUGGAUAUAUCAAAGAAGUAGCUACAUUACUUAUACUGUCCUCGUUGUAUGAAGACAUGAGAGCAGAGAAAAUCUGCCAGACAAUGCAAGUUUCUCCCAACUUUAUGGUUUGUAUAUGCA